UAUGUCUUUUUCUAGAAGUUCUGAGUUGCCACGUAAUUCCAUAUCCUUUUGACAUUAUAUAUUGUCCCUCUGGCUCUUGUCGGAAUGUAUACUGAAAGAAUGGACAGAAGGUCUGUCAUCGCUUGUUUUCUCGUGAUGCUUGUGUUGUUCGAAAGCGCAUCUGCAGACUGUGAGGAUGUUCAAUUUCAGAUCUUGUUCUGCAUCAAAUCAUCAUGCGAGGAUAUAUGCAAGUUUCAGUGGAAGGGUAAGAAGGUCUACAAUCCUUGGUGUGAUAAGUUCUUCGGUGGCUACUGCCACUGCAAGAUUUGCCAUGAUGGAUAGAACUUAAUGGAUAUGUUAGGCGCACUUCAUGCUAGAAAUAAAUAAGUCAUAACUUUGUGUCCUGAAUCACUGAUUUAUGCAUGGGAUUGUAUGUUUGGGAGAGCGUCAUGCCAUGUGAGACAUAAUCUAUACUAGAUAGGUUGGACACACUAUGCUGCGCCGUUGGUGUUGUUGGGUUUCCUAAAAAACAAUACUCACCAUGUUUCAAAAUAUGAGGUGUAUUAAUAUUUUGAAAAGUCCAACCUUUUAAGUUC